CUUGGUGUAGCUCAGUGGUAGAGCACUUGCCUAACACGCACAAGGCCCUGGGUUCAGGCCUCAGCUCAGAGA
rnacentral:tRNA from 1 species